CCGGGGCUGAACGGGGUCGCGCUGCUGUCCAGGCCGAACGAGGGGCUCAGCGGGUCGGCUUUGACCGGCGCAUCUGUCGGGGACGGUGGGUCAUCAGAGGUGGACGGAUCCAAAAGGCUGAUGGAGGAUGAAGGAUGGAGGAUUCUGCUUUUGAAAGGUCUGUGAGCAAGAGAUGAACAGGAUGAAGGCGGAGGGAGGGAAGCGCUGCAGACUGAGCAGGACCUCCGCAGCGUCAGGUUUAUUUAAGUGAUGCUCUGUCUGGGCGGGGUCAAGCUGUCUAAUCCAGAUGCAUGCUGAUUAAAACCCUAUUGAUGGGUUCUCAUAACUGACAGGUCAAAUCCUCAAAAACGACAAUACAAGCAGGCCGACUGCAAAUCACUUGAUCAAGGCUAGUUGUUUCGUAAAACAACAUAUUUACAGAAGGCUUUCUACUGGGCUUGGAGAGUUAUUUAGAUACAAUCAUGACAGCAGUGAUUGCACAUUUUCAUCAUUUUUACUGAAGUUUUCAGAUACUCUUUUACGCAGUGUUGUAUGUAAAUAAAUAUAAAGACAUUCCUUAUCUGCAGUUGGCUGCAAACAGCAACAAACCACUCCCUCAAGUCUGCUUCAUUUCCUUGUUUCCACUGUUGACGCUCAAAACAGCCGCCAAUUUGAGCUCUCUGGACUGGAAUUACAGGAUCUCUGAGGGGUUUGGUCCAAUCAGAUGACACUCGAUUCAUUGAUUGGUUUUCAGUCCACAUUAGUGUAAAGUUAAAGAGAGUUCAUUCAGCUACUACAGUAAAACCUUUUAGUUGAACUCUUUUACAUGGCAAAGAUGAUUUUGAGGAAGAGAGAACUGGUUUACGCUUCACAACAAGGUCCCGCUUGUUAAUAUUAGUUAAUGCAUUAGCUCACGUGAAAUAACAAUAAGCAAAUCAACAAUGUUUUUUAAUGUUAGUUAAUAAAAAUACAAUUGUUCACAGUGCAAUUAAUGUUCAGGGUUGUUAUCAAUAACUCAAACUAUUAAAAACAUGUCUAAAGCUGAAAUAAAUUAAAAUAAAAUAAAAAUAUCGGUUGAAAAACUUAGAAAUGUUGCCUGAAAUACGUUUAAGUUGAAGCACUAAAAUUAUUAACUGGAAAUAAAUAAAAACUAAAAACCUAAAAUGAUUUUUUUAAAAUAAUAAUAAUAAUAAAAUAAACAUUUACAUCUACAUUUACAUUAAACAUCUGGUAAAGAGUUACCAGAUAAUUCUACUGUUUGGGCUAAUCUGCUGCAUUCUUGUCAAAGCUGAACAUCACUCUGUUGGUGAAUCCAAACAAACACAUGUGACUCUGUCUACAGAUAUGCGUGUGUGUUUUAGUGCAGAAAGCGCGCGCGGCUGAGGGAUGUUCAGUCAGUAGGUCAGGAUUUGUGCCGAUUACAGAUCUGGUGAUGGCAGGCAUGAUGCUGUAAAACUGCUGAGCUCCAGUGUUCAACUGCACACGCUGUCCUCCAGUGACCUACUGUGAGAGUCGCUGUCAUCCUCCGUCUCACUGUGAUGCAAUACUGACAUUAUUACAUGCAGUACUUUAUUAUUAUCUAUUAUUAAUUAUUAUACAUUAUUAAGAGAUGUACAUUUUCUAGGAGUGUCAUUAUAUACAGUUGAUAUUAUCAGUACAGUUUCAAUGAAAACUUGAAAGACUGAACUUCACAUGUUUGUGCACAAGCUGACGAUCUGAUGGUCUGUGCAGAGUCACAUGAUCAAUGUCACCAGUUUGAUUAGUGACCUAGAAAUAGUGCAGGAUCGGAAAUGUUUAUUAUUCAUUGCAAUCUACAUAGAAGAAUGCAUAAUCUUUCUUUGUUUUAAAUGUGUUAAUUAAAAAUUCAAUAAAUAAAAAUCCUUAAAACUGGAAAAAUAAAUGGAAAAAGUAAACUCGUAAUAAACAAAAUAACACUUUGAAAACACAUCAGAUCUCAAUGGGGAAUAAUAUCAUGCUGGAUAUCUAUACUGAUAUGGACUGGGUAAUGUGUUAGGAACGAAAGGAUGCCGCAUCGUUUGAUGGAAAUUAAAAUUAUCAACCUACAAGGGACUGAAUUUAAAGACACCCCGAAAAUCAAAGUGAAAAAAUGAUGCAGCAGGCUAGUCCAUUUUGCUGAAAUUUCAUUGGAGCAACUCAAAAUGGUACUCAGUAGUUUGUAUGGCCCCCACGUGCUUGACAAUGUCGGGGCUCCUAAUGAGACGACGGAUGGUGUCCUGGGGUAUUUCCUCCCAGAUCUGGACCAGGGCAUCACUGAGCUCCUGGACAGUCUGAGGUGCAACCUGGCGGCAUCGGAUGGACCAAAACAUAAUGUCCCAGAGGUGUUCUAUUGGAUUUAGGUCAGGCGAGUGUGAGGGCCAUUCAAUGGUAUCAAUUCCUUCAUCCUCCAGGAACUGCCUGCAUACUCUCGCCACAUGUUGUGCACCAGGAGGAACCCAGGACCCACUGCACCAGUGUAGGGUCUGACAAUGGGUCCAACGAUUUCAUCCCGAUACCUAAUGGCAGUCAGGGUGCCAUUGUCUAGCCUGUAGAGGUCUGUGCGUUCCUCCAUGGAUAUGCCUCCCCAUUUCAUCACUGACCAUCACCACCAAACCGGUCAUGCUGAACGAUGUUACAGGCAGCGUAAUGUUCUCCACGGCUUCUCCAGACCCUUUCACAUCUGUCACAUGUGCUCAGGGUGAACCAGCUCUCAUCUGAAAAGCACAGGGCGCCAGUGGCGGACCUGCCAAUUUUGGUGUUCAAUGGCAAAUGCCAGUCGAGCUCCACGGUGCCGGGCAGUGAGAACAGGGCCCGCUAGAGGACGUCGGGCCCUCAGGCCACCCUCAUGAAGUCUGUUUCUGAUUGUUUGGUCAGAGACAUUCACACCAGUGGCCUGCUGGAGGUAAUUUUGUAGGGCUCUGGCAGUGCUCGUCCUAUUCCUCCUUGCACAAAGGAGCAGACACCGGUCCUGCUGAUGGGUUAAGGAAGUUCUAUGGCCCUGUCCAGCUCUCCUAGAGUAACUGCCUGUGUCCUGGAAUCUCCUCCAUGCUCUUGAGACUGUGCUGGGAGACACAGUAAACUUUCUGGCAAUGACACAUAUUGAUGUGCCAUCCUGGAGGAUUUGGACUGCCUGUGCAUCCUCUGUAGGAUCCAGGUAUCGCCUCAUGCUACCACUAAUGACACUGACCCUAGCCAAAUGUAAAACUAGUAAAAAACAGUCAGAAAUUAUGAGUAGGGAAAAAAAUGUCAGUGGCCUCCACCUGUAAAACCAUUUCUGUUUUGGGGGUUGUCUCAUUGUUGCCCAUCUAGUGCACCUGUUGUUAAUUUCAUUAACACCAAAGCAGCUGAAACUGAUUAACAACCCACUCUGCUACUGAACUGACCAGAUCAAUAUACCAGGAGUUUAACUGACUUGAUGCUAUUCUCUGAUUAAAAAGUGGUCCUUUAAUUUUUUUGAGCAGUGUAUGUAUGUAGAUUUUUCAACAUGUUAAACAUGCUAGCAACAUAUUAGCUAUGUGUUAAAACAGUAGAAACAUUCUAGCAAAAUGCUAAUUCAUGCUCGCAAUGUGUUAAAACAUGCUAGAAAUGUGUUAACAACAUGCUAAUUCAUACUAACAAUGUGUUAUAACAUGAUACCAACAUGCUACUUCAUGUUAGAAAUAUGUUAAAACAUGUUAUGAUAAUGUUAGCAACAUGCUUAAACAUGCUAGCAAUGUGUUAAAACAUGUUAGAAAUGUGUUAGCAACAUGCUAAUUAAUGCUAGCAAUGUGUUACAACAUGCUAAUUCAUGCUAACAAUGUUAAAACACGUUAGCAGUGUGCUAAAACAUGCUAUGAUAAUGUUAGCAACAUGCUUAAACAUGGUAGCAAUGUGUUGAAACAUGCUAGAAACAUGUUAGCAAUGUGUCACAACAUGCAAACAACAUGCUAAGUCAUGCUAGCAAUAUGUUAAAACAUGUUAGCAAUAUGUUAAAGCAUGCUAUGAUAAUACUAGCAACAUGUUAAAACAUGCUGCUAACAAUGUGCUAAAAGUGCUAGCAAUACUUCAUUCUGGUCAUUCGCAGCAUUCAGCAGUCAGAAUAAUAAUAUUAUUAAUAUUUCUGAAUAAUGACCACUGUCCAGGGCAACAAUGUACUGUAUAACUCAUCUGAGAUAGUUAUUAUAGUUAAUGAAAAUGAAAACUUUAAUCAAAAUAAAAUAUAAAAAACUUUGGUAACAUCUUAUUUUACGGUGUCGGUUGCACAUGUUGCAUGUAGAUACUAUAGUAAAUAACCAUAAAUUAUGCAUAAUUACAUGCAACUAACCCUAAACCCAACCUUAACCUUAACCCUAUAGCAAGUACAUAAAGUGAAUUAAUAUUACUCAGUACUUAAAUGUAUAAUUACACUGUAACAAGAACACUUUAAAAUAAAGUGUAACCAAAACUUUUUUAUGUAUGUACUAGUUGCAAGGAAACAAUCUCAUUUUAAUUUAGUUUAAAUUUAUGGACUAAAAUAACUAAAACUGAAAUAAAAUGAAUAAAACUAUAAAGACAAAUGUAAAAAAUAGAAAAAAAAAAAAAUUAAAACUUUCACUAAAAUUAAAAUGAAAACAGGAAAUGUAUAAAUAAAACAAAUUCAGAACUAUAACAGCCUAUCUCAGUUAUUCUAAAAUAACACUGUUUAGCUCUUAUUCUGUAUGUCUGCAGUCAAUAUUUUACUUCCAUGUAUGUGCAUUUAUUAUCAAGUAGCAUGAAAUGAGAUAAUGUACAGUCAGAUGCUCAUUAUCGCAGAAUAAACAACAAAAACAAGACCUUA